GAAAUCCUGAUGUGUUCGUCUGUAAAUAUCGUUUUGACCGAACACUAAAUGUAAGGGAGCUUGAUUGUUUUUAUGCGGCGUGCAAGCCUCUUGUGUGGAAGUACAAUGUAUAAAACAGAGCACCCACCUGCCUAGAGCGGGAUCAAAACUAGAAUUCGGACGGCACAAUUGGGAUUUGA
rnacentral:other from 1 species